rnacentral:sRNA from 1 species
CACCAACUGCAAGUCUCUGUGGUGGAGCUCUCUCUGAUUUUCUCUGCUAUGUGUUGAAUACCUGUACAAACUAGAAAAGAAACUGGUUUUUAUUGCUGCU